AGUGAACGCUGGCGGUAGGCCUAACACAUGCAAGUCGAACGGCAGCACAGUAAGAGCUUGCUCUUACGGGUGGCGAGUGGCGGACGAGUGAGGAAUACAUCGGAAUCUACUUUUUCGUGGGGGAUAACGUAGGGAAACUUACGCUAAUACCGCAUACGACCUACGGGUGAAAGCAGGGGAUCUUCGGACCUUGCGCGAUUGAAUGAGCCGAUGUCGGAUUAGCUAGUUGGCGGGGUAAAGGCCCACCAAGGCGACGAUCCGUAGCUGGUCUGAGAGGAUGAUCAGCCACACUGGAACUGAGACACGGUCCAGACUCCUACGGGAGGCAGCAGUGGGGAAUAUCGGACAAUGGGCGCAAGCCUGAUCCAGCCAUACCGCGUGGGUGAAGAAGGCCUUCGGGUUGUAAAGCCCUCUUGUUGGGAAAGAAAAGCAGCAGGUUAAUACCCCGCUGUUCUGACGGUACCCAAAGAAUAAGCACCGGCUAACUUCGUG
rnacentral:rRNA from 1 species